AUGAGACAUGAGUUCUUUGUGAAAGAUCCUAAGGUUGGAGGUAAUCGCGGAGGAAACUUGUAAAGUUACUCGGAAACGACCCCAACGCUCACCAAGGUAGGUGGAAGAUGUAAGGAUGUUUUGAUUUUGGAGCUUAGAGGCUUUUAUUUUGAAGUCCUUAUUUCCAUUCUUUUUGUAACCUAACUGAUUGCAUUCUGAAUUGACUAUUU